rnacentral:lncRNA from 1 species
GGCCACCACUCACGCAGGUUGGUCUCCACGGUGUCGGUGGAGAACUCGCAGCGUGGACCGGCGUAGGACGGGCUGCAGAGACAACCGGUGCCAGCAAAAGUCCCCCCGUUCUCACACAGCCCUGGUGGGACACGGGGACAUCAGCCGGGUCACGGGGACACCCCAGCUGAGCGUGGAGGUCAUCUGGGGAGGACUCACCUAAAGGAGGAGCAGUGGUGGUCCAAAGGGUGGUUGGGGUGGUCCCUGGAGUGGUGGACAUUGCUGUGGAGGUCCUCUGGGUGCUCGAGGAGGUCACUGAGGUGGUUGUGGUGGUCCCUGGAGUGGCCGUGGUGAUACCUGGGAUUGUGAUGGGGGUCCCAGAGUUGGUCGUGGAGGUCCCUGAGAUGGUUGUGGAGGUCCCUGGGGUGGAGGACGUGGUCCCUGGAGUGGCCAUGGUGGUCCCUGGAGUAGUUGUGUUGGUCCCUGGGGUGGUUGUGGUGGUCCCUGAGAUGGUCGUGGUGGUCCCAGAGUUGGUCGUGGUGGUUACUGGGAUGGUUGUGGUUGUCCCUGGGGUGGUUGUGGUGGUACCUGGGGCUGUGGUGGUGGUCCCAGAGUUGGUCGUUGUAGUCCCUGGGGUGGUCGUGGUGGUACCCGGGAGGGCUGUGGUGGUACCUAAGUUUGUUGUGGCGGUCCCAGAGGUGGAGGACGUGGUCCUUGGGGUGGUCGUGGUGGCACCCAGGGUGGUCGUAGUGGUCCCUGAGAUGAUUGUGGUGGUCCAUGGGGUGGUCGUGGUGGUCUCUGUAAGGGUCGUGAUGAUCCCUGGGAUAGUCGUGGUGGUCCCUGGGAUGGUUGUGGUGGUCCAUGGGGUGGAGGAGGUGGUCCCUGAUGAGGUCGUGGAGGUCCCUGUAAUGGUUGUGGUGGUACCUGCAGUGGACGUGGUUGUCCCAGAGUUGGUUGUGGUGGUCCCUGAGGAGGUCAUGGAGGUCCCUGGGAUGGUCGUGGUGGUCCCUGGGGUGGUUGCGGUGGUCCAGGGGCUGGAAGAGGUGGUUGCUGCGGUGGUUUUGGUGGUCACUGGGGUGGUCGUGGUGAUACCAGGGACGGUCGUGGUGGUCACAGAGUUGGUUGUGCUGGACCCUGAGGUGGUUGUGGUGGUACUUGGGAUGGUUGUAGAUGUUCCUGGGGUGCUUGUGGUGGACCCUGAGGUUGUUUGGAUGGUCUCAGAGGUGGCUGGGGUGGUCGCAGAGGUGGAGGUGGUCCCCGAGGAGGUUGUGAUGGUCCCUGGUGUGGUCGUGGUGGUCCCUGAUGUGGAGGUGGUGGUCCCAGGGCUGGUUGUGGUGGACCCUGAGGUGGUCGUGGUGGACCCUGAGGUUGUUAGGGUGGUCGCAGAGGUGGUUGGGAUGGUCCCUGAGGUGGAGGAGGUGGUCCAUGGGGUGGCUGUGGUGGUCGCUGAGAUGACCGUGGUGGUCCCAGAGGUGGACGUGGUGGUCCCUGAAGUGGUAGGGGUGGUCCCCGAGUUGGUCAUGGUGGUUCCUGGAGUGGUCGUGGUGGUCUCUGGAGUGGUCGUGGUGGUACCCGGGAUUGUUGUGGUGGUCUCAGAGUUGGUUGUGGUGGUCCCUGAGGACAUUGGGGUGGUCCCGGAGGUGGUCGUGGAGGUCCAUGUAAUGGUUGUGGUGAUCCCUGGGUUGGUUGUGGUGGUCCCAGAAGUGAAGGAGGUGGUCCCUGGGUUGCUUGUGGUGGUCAAUGGAGUGGUUGGAGUGGUCCCGGAGCUGGUGGAGGUGGUCCCUGGGAUGGCUGUGGUGGCUCCUGAGGAGAUUGUGGUGACACCUGAGGUGGUUGUGGAGGUCUUUGAGGUGGUCUUGGUGGUCUCCGAGGUGGUUGGGAUGGUCCCAGAGGUGGUUGUGGAGGUCCCUGAGGUGGAGGAGGUGGUCACUGGCAUGGUCGUGGUGGUCACUGGGGUGAUUGUGGUGGUCCCCGAGAUGGUUGUUUGGGUCCCUGGGGUGCUGGUGGUGGUCCCUGAGGAGCUCAUGGUGGUCUCUGAGGUGGAAGAGGUGGUACUUGAGGUGGUUGGGUUGGUCCCAGAGGUGCUCAUGGUGGACCCUGGGGUGGUUGUGGA